rnacentral:lncRNA from 1 species
UCAAUAUUAUCAUGUUACCUUCUACCCAUCAUACACCAUAUUAUAUCCCAAGUUAAACCCCUUACCUCUAGUCCCAAGCUAGUCUCCAAGGUUCUUAGGUUUCUUUCCUUCUUUAGACUCCAAGCCCUUCACCCUUCUAGGUUCCCUUCAAGUUUCCAACUCCAAAGCUAGGUUGAGUACUUUCUUUCUCUCACCAACUUGGUUGUUUCUCACAAAGAAAUGUUUCUCUCCACUCAACUUACGGCUUUCUCUUUCUUUUCCACUCUCUCACCAAGUUUUUAAUACCAUCUAACUAACUUAAAAUUACACACUUAAAUAAAAUCAAACCUAAACCUUUCUAACCCUUAAUUCUCCCACUCAAGGUUACUACCAAGGGCAUCCUUAGACCACUUCAGAUUUUUCCCAUUCCUAACUCCACAUUAACACCCAUAAAACCUCUCUUUAAUGUGUGUAAAUGGUAGGUUUAAAGUGUGUUUAAAUGCCUCUAUAAUACCCAUUUAUGGAGCCUACCAUUUUUAAUGCAAUGUUUAACCUCUCCAAGAAACUCCAAGGUCACUUACAAGCAUCCUAAGUCUAGAAUUCUUGUGGCCCACCCCAUGCAAAAAUGAAGAGGAAUAAUAUAAGACCCAUGGCAUGCAUUGAAACGUAACUUG